rnacentral:rRNA from 1 species
GGUCCAGCCUGCCCUGUGACUAUAUGUUAAACGGCCGCGGUAUUUUAACCGUGCGAAGGUAGCGCAAUCACUUGUCUUUUAAAUGGAGACCUGUAUGAAUGGCAUAACGAGGGCUUAGCUGUCUCCUUUUUCAGGUCAGUGAAGUUGAUCUUCCCGUGCAGAAGCGGGUAUAUUUACAUAAGACGAGAAGACCCUAUGGAGCUUUAGACACCAAGGUACACCAUGUUAAACAACCUUUAAUAAAAGGCUAAACCAAAUGAAUCGUACCCGUAUGUCUUUGGUUGGGGCGACCGCGGGGAAAUAAAGAACCCCCACGUGGAAUGGGAGCACUUCCUCCUACACCUAAGAGUUGCAACUCUAAUAAACAGAAAUUCUGACCAUAAGAUCCGGCAAUGCCGAUCAACGGACCGAGUUACCCUAGGGAUAACAGCGCAAUCCCCUUUUAGAGCCCAUAUCGACAAGGGGGUUUACGACCUCGAUGUUGGAUCAGGACAUCCUAAUGGUGCAGCCGCUAUUAAGGGUUCGUUUGUUCAACGAUUAAAGUCCUACGUGAUC